UGACUGUGCGAAGGUAGCAUAAUAAUUUGCCUUUUAAUUAGAGGAUGGAAUGAAUGGUUGGAUGAAGAUAAGGCUGUCUCAUAUAUAUUUUUUAAAAGUUAAUUUUUAAGUUAAAAAGCUUAAAUUGAAUUAAAAGACGAGAAGACCCUAUUAAGCUUAAAAAAGCACUAUAAUUAUUGCUAUAUUGUAAAAUGUAAUAUUAAUGAUUAGAUUUUAGUUGGGGCGACUUGGGAGCAAAGAAAACCUCCUUUUAAAUUAAAUAAAAUUUUAGUUAUGUUCCAAAGGAUUUUGAAAUAAGAACAAGUUACUAUAGGGAUAACAGCGUAAUUCUAUUUGAGAGCUCUAAUCGAAAAUAGAGUUUGCGACCUCGAUGUUGGAUUAAGAAAUAUUAAAGGUUGUAGAAGCUUUUAUAAUUAGUCUGUUCGACUACUAAUAUCUUACAUGAUCU
rnacentral:rRNA from 1 species